CCUCGGAAGGCUCCAGUGGCAGUGUGAAGCAGCAGAUCAGCACCAGCUGGGGCAGCUAGACUCUGUAAGGCGGGAGCAUCUCAGCGCAAUGUCGCAGCAGAAGUGCAUUGUGGUCUUCGCUCUGGUCUGCUGCUUUGCCGUCCUGGUUGCACUGAUAUUCUCAGCCGUGGACAUCAUGGGAGAAGAUGAGGACGGA